GGUGCUUACUUUGGCACCAUACAUAAUUGGAAUGAUACAGAAAAGAUUAUCAUGGCCCCUGAGUAAGGGUGACACACGAAUUCACGAAGAAUACCUUUUUUUU